GACUUCAAAAAAAGCUUGAUUUGUGUUUACAACUAAUUGAUCACAGCCAGUUACAAAUUUCUGUGUUUCUUCUCCACUCCCACUGCUUCACUUGACUAGCCUAAA
ensembl:misc_RNA Y_RNA Y RNA